rnacentral:rRNA from 1 species
AGUUGGCUGACGCAGACCCGAAACCAAGUGACCUACCCAUGACCAGGUUGAAGGCGCGGUAAAACGCGCUGGAGGACCGAACCCACGUAAGUUGAAAAUUGCGGGGAUGAGUUGUGGGUAGCGGUGAAAUUCCAAACGAACUUGGAGAUAGCUGGUUCUCUCCGAAAUAGCUUUAGGGCUAGCCUCGCAAAGAGGAUGCUGGAGGUAGAGCUCUGUUUGGACUAGGGGCCCGUCAAGGGUUACUGAAUUCAGAUAAACUGCGAAUUCCAGACAUUUAUGUGCGGGAGUCAGACUGCGAGUGAUAAGAUCCGUAGUCGAAAGGGAAACAGCCCAGAUCACCAGUUAAGGUCCCAAAAUUCAUGCUAAGUGGAAAAGGAUGUGGAGUUGCGCAGACAACUAGGACGUUGGCUCAGAAGCAGCCAUCAUUCAAAGAGUGCGUAAUAGCUCACUAGUCGAGUGACGCCGCGCCGAAAAUUUACCGGGGCUAAGCAUGAUACCGAAACUGUGGAUGUGCAUUUAUGCACGUGGUAGGAGAGCGUUCUAGCGGCGGUGAAGCAUGACCGAGAGGACAUGUGGAGCUUCUAGAAGUGAGAAUGCCGGUAUGAGUAACGAAAGACAGGUGAGAAUCCUGUCCGCCGCAAGACUAAGGUUUCCUGGGGCAGGCUCGUCCGCCCAGGGUAAGUCGGGACCUAAGGCGAGGCCGAGAGGCGUAGUCGAUGGACAACAGGUUGAAAUUCCUGUACUGCACCGAAUCGUUAUG